rnacentral:rRNA from 1 species
UACAGAGGGUGCGAGCGUUGUUCGGAAUUAUUGGGCGUAAAGGGCGCGUAGGCGGUGCGGUAAGUCACCUGUGAAAUCUCCUGGCUCAACUGGGAGCUUGCAGGCGAAACUGCCGUGCUGGAGUGUGGGAGAGGUGCGUGGAAUUCCUGGUGUAGCGGUGAAAUGCGUAGAGAUCAGGCGGAACACCCGUGGCGAAGGCGGCCAGCUGGGCCGUCCCUGACGCUGAGGCGCGAAGGCGUGGGGAGCGAACGGG